rnacentral:rRNA from 1 species
UGGGGAAUAUUGGACAAUGGGCGAAAGCCUGAUCCAGCCAUGCCGCGUGAGUGAUGAAGGCCCUAGGGUUGUAAAGCUCUUUUGUGCGGGAAGAUAAUGACGGUACCGCAAGAAUAAGCCCCGGCUAACUUCGUGCCAGCAGCCGCGGUAAUACGAAGGGGGCUAGCGUUGCUCGGAAUCACUGGGCGUAAAGGGUGCGUAGGCGGGUUUCUAAGUCAGAGGUGAAAGCCUGGAGCUCAACUCCAGAACUGCCUUUGAUACUGGAAGUCUUGAGUUCGGGAGAGGUGAGUGGAACUGCGAGUGUAGAGGUGAAAUUCGUAGAUAUUCGCAAGAAUACCAGUGGCGAAGGCGGCUCACUGGCCCGAUACUGACGCUGAGGCACGAAAGCGUGGGGAGCAAACA